rnacentral:rRNA from 1 species
AUUGAACGCUGGCGGCAGGCCUAACACAUGCAAGUCGAACGAGUGGCGGACGGGUGAGUAAUGUCUGGGAAACUGCCUGAUGGAGGGGGUUAACUACUGGAAACGGUAGCUAAUACCGCCUACCAUCGGAUGUGCCCAGAUGGGAUUAGCUAGUUGGGGGGGUAACGGAUCACCAGGGCGACGAACCCGCGCUGGUCUUUGAGGAUGACCAACCACACUGGAACUGAGACACGGUCCAGACUCCUAAGGGAGGCAGCAGGGGGGAAUAUUGCACAAUGGGCGCAAGCCUGAUGCAGCCAUGCCGCGUGUAUGAAGAAGGCCUUCGGGUUGUAAAGUACUUUCAGCGUGGAGGCGUUACCCGAAGAAGAAGCACCGGCUAACUCCGUGCCAGCAGGCGCGGUAAUAC